GUUCGCCGUUUUGUUUUCCGAACAGUGGGCCUCCGCGGUCUCGGGAACAAAUACCCUGAAUCUCGUGCCCAGGCAGAACCACCUGGUGCUUCCAGGCGGCUUGAGAAGGGCGAGGCUUCGGAGCCUCCAACCUGAUAAAGGUGGGACUUGGGCAAAUGUCGAGAGACCUAAGUCUGGGACUAGAGUUGGCCCCCACGGCGCACAUUCUUGCUCAGAAGCAGCAGAUUGCAAAAAUCAGGAGGUGUCGGGCCAGGCGGGGGAUGAAGGCAAGUAAGCUCCGGCGCUUCGCCUCCGGACCCCAACACAGCCUCCGCGGAUUUGGGAGCUGAACGGAGUCGACGACUCUGCAGAGACGCCUCUGGCCAGAGAGCAGAUGGCACAGGCCUGCACACUCGCCAUCUGUAAGGUCCACCCGGAAGCGGCUUGGCCUUGCGGAUGGUAAUAGAUGGACAAGGUGGAGACAGAAUUCCCAGGCAGCAGGAUGGUAAACAAGUGCAGAUCUGAGAAACAGCCUGCUGACCUUUGGUAACGUGUAUAGCAACAGCAGACAAGAUUCCUGGAGGAACAGCAACUAUUAUAGGUCUGUGAUGAUAAAAGCCACGGAACAGAGACAAUUGAGCAAAGAAGACAGAGGGAGCCUGGGAACUUCAUGACAUUCUUGAACAGUGGUGCCAGCCCUGGAUGAUUGACCUCAGGACCUCUUGCUAAAUGACAUAUACUAACUCCUUUCUGUUUAACCCACUGGAGUAGAAUUUUCUUUUGUAGUGAAUCCAAUCCUAACUGAUUGACUAAUAUGUAUUAGCACCUGUUGUGGGCCAGUGGAGUUCUAAGAAUGUUUAUGUACUAACGUUUUUAAUCCUCACAAUGAAUGACUUUAUGAGAUAGACCAAAGGUUCUCAAAGUGUGAUCCCUGAGCCAGCAGCAUUAGCAUCACCUGGAAACUUGUUAGAAAUGCAGAUUUGGGGGCCUGACCCCAGACCUCCUGAAGCAGAAUCUCUGGGAGUGGGGCCCAGCAGUCUGUGUUUUAACAAACCCUCCAAGCGAUUCUGAUGUAUGCUGAAGUUUGACAACUUUAUCUCUGUAGAUAGGGUAUUGUUGCUGUCCCCAUUUUACAGAUAAGUAGACUGAGCUGAAUUUAAGUCACUUGCCCAAUGUCACACAACCAGCAAGACUGACUCCUAAGUCUGUGUUUGUAGCCGCUAUGUUACAUCACAUGUUAAGAACUCCUGCUCUAAAGCAGUAGUCUUCAAAAUUUGAAAGCAUACUCCUCUGAAAAAUUAUGUACCCCCCUGCACAUUUUUAGAUCAACAUCUAAAAAUUUCACAUAAGUUCAAACAGUUGUAAAGAAUCUGAUUUCCAGUACAUUGUAAAUUGUGACAUUUCAAAAUGUGUUCCAUCACUCUUCUAAAUGAAUCUAAAUACCAUAGUGAUUAUUUUUAAAAUGGACUAUCAUCUAUUGAAAAAAAUAAAUUUUCUCUACAUUUGAAAUUUUACAUCCUCUCUUUUGUAUUUGAACUCAUAUUUUCAUUUCCCUACCCCACAAAAUACAUUUUAUUGUAACAUGGCUGUUUUUGAUCUACUCUGUUGUGCUUUCUGCAACAAAAAAGUAUAAACAUUGAACUUAAUUUAAGAAAAAAUUUCCGGUGACUAUAUAGCUUUGAGUUAACAAUUUGUUUUCUGCAUUAAGUUAUUGCAAUUUUUAUUAGAUCGAAUCACUGUGAGUGUAUGUUUUGAUAAGUUAUAGACAUACAAACUAAAAUUGAAUUGCAAACUCAUCUCUUAAUGAGAUGGAUGGGACUAAUAUUUUCUAAUUAAUUUGUGUAUCCAUGGAUGAAUAGUCCUUGUUGCAAGACUGAAACAAGUUCAACAUCAAUUUUAUGUCUAUUUCAUUAUUAUAGAUAUGAGAUAAAUAAGUAGAUAGGAAUUAAAGGAGUUUUGAAAUAGGAAUGUGAUUCUAAUUUUUCUAACCUCUAUAUUACAUGCUAAAACCACAUUAUCAUUAAAAUUUUUUUUUUUGGCCGCUCAGUGUGGCAUGUGGGAUCUUAGUUCUCCAACCAGGGAUUGAACCCGAACUCGCACCCCUUGUAUUCGAAGCAUGGAGUCUUAGCCACUGGGCCGCCAAGGAAGUCCCCAUUAAAAAUUUCUGUUAAUCUAUUAUUGACAACUGGGUUAGACCCUCUUUCAUGUUUAAAAGCAAAUACAAUAAGAAACCACCUGAGUUGCAAAAGAAUUUUGUUAACCAGUCUUUUAAGACAUUCACUUUCUGACACCAUUUUUUAGAGUCCUUUUGUCAGAUGCUUCGAGGAGGCUUUGUGUCUUGGGGAAAUAUGAAGGGUAAGAUACGGGAUGGUUGAGAGUUAUGUCCUUUUUCCUUAGUGGGAGAAGAGUUGUGACAAAAGGACGUGGGAAAGCAGAAAGUUUUCAGGCAGAUCACUCAGUGAAUCCACAUGGGUGUCCAAGGUCAGGAAAAUGAUUCCCUUAAAACUGUCAGUGUCCAUUUAUUCCCAGGGAUAUACACAUUCUAGUUUUAAAACUAAAGGAUACUAAGAGAUACCUCUUAGAAUUACCAUUGUCAAGUCUCUUC